GACCAUAAUACCCAAUCAAAUCUAUUCCUUUCACCCGUCCCAACAAAUAAUCAUUUCCCUUUCCCCAAUGAUUCUAGAACUUAGAGAGGAAACUAAUCUGAAACCCUAUUUUCACCAAAGUUCAUCCUUAUCCCCUUGUCUCAUACACUUUAACUCUUGCCUCAGUCCUGUUCCUUUUCCCAUUUCACUUCUAAUGCUCGCUUUGCAUAUGCAAGAACUCUGCCCACUAGAUAAAUCGAUUCACUUCUCUUUAACGUUUCUAUUGCAAUGGUAUGUGAUAAUCCAUUCGCCGCUUAUAUGGUAUAUUUGAAACUGAUACUCCGAAAACUGCCUUUUAACUACUUUAUAUUGUGAAUGUAUACCCCUAUAACCAAUUUAUCUCGAUAUUUUGACUUACAUUUCUUCAUUGUAGUUAAUGAAUUCCCUUCCAAUAUAACCUCUUCCCAACCUAUCUCUAUGCCCAUUUCCAACGCCCGAUGGCAUGCAAUGGCUUUGGCGAUGAAAGCAGACAAUACUCUACUAUGGGUCUUUGAGCGAGAUAAUAGAACUUGCCCCUUAGCAUUCCUUGCGACAACUCCUGAGGCCGACCGAAAGUUUCGACCGUUUUAAGCUCCAUCAAAGUUAAUCUUCACGGUAGAUCCAGAAGGUUAUGCAUGAAACACGUGGUAUACUGUUUCGGCCUCUACACCACACCGGGGACAGCAUACUUAUUAAUGAGCUUCUUAUGUUUCAUGUUAACAAAAGUAGGUAGAUAUUCCAAGAGAUCCUCCAUAUUGUAAUCUUAAUUUUCCCUGGAAGGUUUAGGCCCCAUAGCUAUUUAUAAAAUUCCUUAGUACUGGUCUGUAAAGCAUAAACAGUAGGAACCAUGGGAAAGUUCUAUAAUAGUUUAUAAGUGCUAUAUACCGAAAACUCCCCAGAUGGCUCACCACUCCACACCAUCAGAUCAUCAUGUGCCUCAUGUGCCAGCAAAAUUUGAAGGAUUCUAAAAGUGUCCACCAUCACAAAGGUUGAAAUUGGGUUGUUCUUAAGGAGGUGCCGAAUGUGGUCAUUGAAGGGCCUUGAGGAACAAUAUGUGUGGCUUGGGUUAUAACAUUCGGCCAUGGUAGAAAAUGGAAGAGAUAAAUGGUUGUUAAUUGUGAUAGUUUAAGGAAAUUGUAAGUAGUUUGAAUAAAUGAACAAUAAUAAUAAAUCAUCUAGUGAAUUGGUGUAGUUGCCGAAUUUGAACUAGGAAGUUAUUGAGUAAUGUGUGUAUUUUAAGUGAUAGAAUAGAGUGAAUGCUUGGAAUGUGAUAUGUAUGAAUUAUAAGUUGGAUUAAAAGCUGUUAUAUUGCCUUAUCAUUUUCGGAAA